AUGGCUUCGACGGCGGCGGGCGCAAGCAGCAGCGGCGAGGUGGUUGCCGUGGGCGACGAGAGCAACAAGAUGUUCACGCUGAUCAGCUCCGACGGCGAGAGCUUCGAGAUCACGGAGGAGGUGGGCAAGAUGUCGCAGACCAUCAAACACAUGAUCGAGGACGGCUGCGCCGACAACGGGAUCCCCCUCCCCAACGUCCCCGCGAAGACCCUCAGCAAGGUCAUCGAGUACUGCAACAAGCACGUCGUCGUCGACGACAACAACGCCAGCGCCAGCGAGAAGGAGGACCUGAAGAGCUUCGACGCCAAGUUCAUUGCCGUGGACCAGGCGACGCUGUUCGACCUCAUCCUCGCCGCCAACUACCUUGACGUCAAGGGGCUCCUGGACCUGAGCUGCCAGACGGCGGCCGACAUGGUCAAGGGCCAGCCGGUCGAGGGCAUACGCAAGAUGUUCAACCUCGAGAACGACUUCACGCCGGAGGAGGAGGCGGAGAUCAGAAGGGAGAACCCCUGGGCGUUUGAUCUUUGA
rnacentral:rRNA from 1 species